rnacentral:rRNA from 1 species
AUUGAACGCUGGCGGCAGGCCUAACACAUGCAAGUCGAACGAGUGGCGGACGGGUGAGUAAUGUCUGGGGAACUGCCCGAUGGAGGGGGAUAACUACUGGAAACGGUGGCUAAUACCGCAUACCAUCGGAUGUACCCAGAUGGGAUUAGCUAGUAGGUGGGGUAAAGGCUCACCUAGGCGACGAUCCCUAGCUGGUCUGAGAGGAUGACCAGCCACACUGGAACUGAGACACGGCCCAGACUCCUACGGGAGGCAGCAGUGGGGAAUAUUGCACAAUGGGCGCAAGCCUGAUGCAGCCAUGCCGCGUGUAUGAAGAAGGCCUUCGGGUUGUAAAGUACUUUCAGCGAGGAGGCGUUACUCGCAGAAGAAGCACCGGCUAACUCCGUGCCAGCAGCCGCGGUAAUAG